GAUACACUCAGGCCUACUUCUCUCUCCUUCCCUUAUCUCGAUAACAAAGAGAAAUGGUAAUUGGAUAAACCGUUAAAACCCUGAAACUGAAGAGAGAAAAAAUGGCAACUCUUGAGCUCCUACUCCACCAUUCUCACUCAUUUGCCCUAAGUCAGCACCCCAUCAUCAAUUUCUCAAGUUUUCGCCCAAUUUACCCCAAAUUACCGCCUAUCAAAUCCUCCGCCACUGAUUCUCCAUCCACCAGCUCCACCACCCCCCGCCGCGGCCGCAAAAAAUCCACCACCACCACCACCUCCACAACGAAAAGAUCAAGGCGGCCGAGGAAAUCAGGAGAUUCGCCAGACACCAAAAAUGUCGACGACGAGCUCUACGAUUACGACGACGGCGUCGAUUUCCCUUACCUGGAUCCGCCGUUGGUAUGCUGCUUCGGAGCCGCGCAGAAGGAGUUUGUGCCCACGGUGAGAGUGGCGCCGGAGCAGAUGCACCCGGACAUCUACUCGCAGUGGAAAAUGUUACAGUGGAACCCGCCGGAGUUCGCCCGGGCCCCCGGCGGCGCGCCGUCGAAUGUGGCGAUCUCCCACGUGAGGCUCGGCGGGCGGGCGGCCUUCAUGGGGAAGGUCGGGAAGGACGAGUUCGGUGAGGAGCUGGUGUUGAUGAUGAAUAAGGAGAGGGUGCAGACGAGAGGGGUGAAAUUUGAUGAUAAGGCUCGAACUGCGUGUAGCUAUAUGAAGAUCAAAUUUGAGGAGGGUAAAAUGUCGGCCGAGAAUGUGAAGGAAUGCCCUGAGGAUUCGUUGCUUGGAUCAGAAUUGAAUCUUGCUGUGCUGAAAGAGGCCAGAAUAUUUCAUUUUACUUCUGAAGUCCUGACAUCAACUUCUAUGCGUUCUACCCUUUUCAAAGCUAUUGCAUGGACUAAGAAGUUUGGUGGUCUUGUAUUUUUCGACUUGAAUCUCCCACUACCAUUGUGGAAAUCACGGGAUGAGACGAGGGAGGUGAUUAAGGAAGCCUGGGAGAAAGCAGACAUCAUUGAGGUCACCAAACAAGAAUUGGAGUUUCUCUUGGAUGAAGAGCAUUACGAGAGAAAAAGAAAUUAUACGCCUCAAUAUUAUGCUGAGAGUUAUGAGCAAACCAAGCAACGAAGAAAUUACUAUCACUAUACUCGCGAGGAACUCUUGCCGCUGUGGCAUGAUCGCCUGAAAUUCUUGUUUGUCACAGAUGGAACGCUGCGGAUACAUUACUUCACCCCUACUUUUGAUGGAGCUGUGGUUGGUACUGAAGAUGUGCUCAUAACACCAUAUACUUGUGAUAGAACUGGUUCGGGCGACGCUGUUGUAGCUGGAAUUAUGCGGAAGCUCACGACACAGCCUGAGAUGUUCGAAAGUCAAGAUAUUUUGGAGAGGCAACUCCGGUUUGCCAUUUCAGCAGGCAUAAUAUCACAAUGGACGAUAGGUGCAGUACGAGGCUUCCCCACGGAGAGUGCUACGCAAAAUCUGAAAGAACAGGUGUAUGUGCCUUCGAUGUGGUAGGAUGAACAGAAAAUGCUGCUGAUAUUAAUUUUUGUGAGAUUCGUCUGCGUUCUUCAAGACACACGUAUUAAUGUAUACGCACGAGGCUGCUUUAUCAAGAAAGGCUCGUGAACCCCCACGUUUUAUGUUUCAGGGCUUCAAAUCUCCCUUGUGUCCUUGUAUCCACGAUAUCCAGCAUGCAGUUGCAGAUAUCUUGCAAGAUAACACGAGAACUUCUUCAUCCAGCCUAAUGUCUGCAGGUGUUUCUCCGAUCAUCCAAUUCCCCAAUUAGGUAAAACGUGCAUCCAUUUCGUUGCAUCAUGGUUUUAUGUACUUCACGGUUUUCUUUGUCGACUUACUUCUUGUCGAUAAAAGAAGCUACCAUCAUGGAUCAGUCUGACACUUCACUUGAGAUAUCUGUCACAUAUACAACCGGGAUAAGGAUUUGCAUAAAAGUUCUCCUCAAGUCUUGGAGACGGCCCUGCUUCUCUCUGGUAAGGCGCUCCGACUCUGUUCUUGUGUAAUUUCUUCACCUUGGCAGCAAAGUCUUCCCAAGUAAUCGAGCCACUGUCUAAUCUAUCUAUGAGUGUUACAAAAUUGAGCCUGUUAAGAGAAACAAACACAACCAAAAUCAGUUGUUUUACUCUUAGUUGAUGUAUAUGAAGUGUAGAAAGUAUUAAA